rnacentral:rRNA from 1 species
ACGGUUUCCAGAGAUGGAUUCCCCUAGCAAUAGGCCGGUACACAGGUGCUGCAUGGCUGUCGUCAGCUCGUGUCGUGAGAUGUUGGGUUAAGUCCCGCAACGAGCGCAACCCUCGCCAUUUAGUUGCCAGCAUUUAGUUGGGCACUCUAGUGGGACUGCCGGUGAUAAGCCGGAGGAAGGUGGGGAGUGACGUCAAGUCAUCAUGGCCCUUACGGGCUGGGCUACACACGUGCUACAAUGGCGGUGACAAUGGGCAGCAACUCAGCAAUGGGAAGCUAAUCUCAAAAAGCCGUCUCAGUUCGGAUUGGGCUCUGCAACUCGAGCCCAUGAAGUUGGAAUCGCUAGUAAUCGCGGAUCAGCUCGCCGCGGUGAAUACGUUCCCGGGCCUU